UACGAAGGGGGCUAGCGUUGCUCGGAAUCACUGGGCGUAAAGCGCACGUAGGCGGCUUUUUAAGUCAGGGGUGAAAUCCUGGAGCUCAACUCCAGAACUGCCUUUGAUACUGAGAAGCUUGAGUCCGGGAGAGGUGAGUGGAACUGCGAGUGUAGAGGUGAAAUGCGCAGAUAUCGGGAAGAACACCCGUGGCGAAGGCGGUUCUCUGGGACGGUACUGACGCUGAGACGCGAAAGCGUGGGGAGCGAACAGG
rnacentral:rRNA from 1 species